GGGGAAACCCACCCCUUAUGGGGUAUCCGUAGCUGAAUCCAUAGGCUACGGAAGCGAACCCGGGGAACUGAAACUUCUAA
rnacentral:rRNA from 1 species